rnacentral:lncRNA from 1 species
ACUUCAACAAACCUGUAUCUAGUCAAAGGAGGACCAAAAGUGAUGACAAAAGUACUUCAUCUAGAGGAGUUCAGUGUCAUGAGUGCGAAGGAUUUGGUCAUAUCAAAUCUGAAUGCCCUACUUUUCUGAAGAAGAAGAAGAGUCUUGCUGUUACUUGGUCAGAUGAGGAUGAUUCAGAAGAAUAUGAAGGUGAAUCUGC